AUUGAACGCUGGCGGCAGGCCUAACACAUGCAAGUCGAGCGAGCGGCGGACGGGUGAGUAAUGUCUGGGAGACUGCCUGAUGGAGGGGGAUAACUACUGGAAACGGUAGCUAAUACAGCAUACCAUCAGAUGUGCCCCGAUGGGAUUGGCUAGGGGGUGGGGUAACGGCUCACCUCGGCGACGAUCCCUAGCUGGUCUGAGAGGAUGACCAGCCACACUGGAACUGAGACACGGUCCAGACUCCUACGGGAGGCAGCAGUGGGGAAUAUGGCACAAUGGGCGAAAGCCUGAGGCAGCCAUGCCGCGGGUGUGAAGAAGGCCUUCGGGUUGUAAAGCACUUUCAGCGGGGAGGCGUUACCCGCAGAAGAAGCACCGGCUAACUCCGUGCCAGCAGCCGCGGUAAUUC
rnacentral:rRNA from 1 species